rnacentral:misc_RNA from 1 species
AUGGCCCAACCUCCCACCCGUGACUAUUGUACCUUGUUGCUUCGGCGGGCCCGCCAGCGUUGCUGGCCGCCGGGGGGCGACUCGCCCCCGGGCCCGUGCCCGCCGGAGACCCCAACAUGAACCCUGUUCUGAAAGCUUGCAGUCUGAGUGUGAUUCUUUGCAAUCAGUUAAAACUUUCAACAAUGGAUCUCUUGGUUCCGGCAUCGAUGAAGAACGCAGCGAAAUGCGAUAACUAAUGUGAAUUGCAGAAUUCAGUGAAUCAUCGAGUCUUUGAACGCACAUUGCGCCCCCUGGUAUUCCGGGGGGCAUGCCUGUCCGAGCGUCAUUGCUGCCCUCAAGCCCGGCUUGUGUGUUGGGCCCUCGUCCCCCGGCUCCCGGGGGACGGGCCCGAAAGGCAGCGGCGGCACCGCGUCCGGUCCUCGAGCGUAUGGGGCUUCGUCUUCCGCUCCGUAGGCCCGGCCGGCGCCCGCCGACGCAUUUGUUUGCAACUUGUUUUUUCCAGGUUGACCUCGGAUCAGGUAGGGAUA